rnacentral:lncRNA from 1 species
UCAACCUUGGGAAAAUCUGCAUAGGGGUAAUGCAUCCUAUGGCUUCCGCAUCAAGGUUAUUACAUAAUGUGGUCAGGUUAUCCAUGUUUCGUAAGGACAAAAACUCAAGAGAGACCGAAAACCAUACUGCAGGUAUACUCUUGCAUCUUGGGCAGUCGGAAAUUUCGAGUUCUUCCAAACUGUUAAACAUCUGAGGUUCUCCUACACUAUUUUCUGCUCAUAUCUCCAGGCUUGGUAACUGAAUCAAACACAACUUCUUCAAAUUUGGGAAAAGUUGCAGAGAGGUAAUGCUUCCUCCAGCUUCCACACCAAGGUUACUACAUAAUGUUGUCAGGUUAUCCAUCCUCUGUAAGACCAAAAUCUCUAGAGAUGUCGAGAGCCAUAUUACAGGGAUACUCUUGCAUUUCGGGCUAUCAGACAUUCUGAGUUCUCUCAAGCACUCAAACAUCUGAGGCUUUCUCAUCCAUUGUGAUAUUUCUAGGCCAUGAUAUCCACGUAUCUCCAGUUUUUGGAUAUUACUAUGAGGUUCUAAGCACUGAAGCACUUCUUCCACAUCUCUAGGCUCAUCAUCUAUUUCUUGGCCCCAAGAGAACAACAACUCACUUAGAUUUUGCUUCUGACUGAGAUUGGCUUCUUUUGCAUUCCCCCCACUCUUUAUCUUGUUCAAAUUGAAUAGUUCCAACCUAUUGCUAAGGUUUUGCAAGUCUUUGAGCUGCUCUAUUCCAAGGCCAUCUCCGGUACCAACAACAAAUGUUGUUAAUACGUGAAGGUUAUUCAGCAGUCCAAAGUUUGGAGACAUACUUUUGAGAUUCGUACAACCAGAAAGGUAAAGAUAGAUGAGCUUUCUCAGUCUUGCCAUGUCUUCUGGUAACUGGUUCAACUUGUAACAGCCUAUUAGCCUCAGUGUUUGCAAGUUAUACAACACACAUAUUGAAUCUGGCAACUUAGUGAUGUUAUAAUCGGAGAGCUCAAGGUAUCGUAGAUGAUUUGCAUUUAUGGCCUUGCAAUUGACAACUGAACAAGAGCUGCAACGCAAUGCUCUAAGUGAUGCCGAUACCUGUAGCAACUCUUUAAAAUGCUUGUGUGAUGCUGAAGGAUCUAACAAAGUGCGAAUGUUUGUUCUGCCUUUGCAUAACCCAUUGAUUUGUUCUAAUUCACCCUCUGAAAUUUGCAUGUGACAGACAUCUUUUAACAAUGAUUUCUUCUGAGUCAGUUCUUUCACACUUGCACAUUCAUCCGUGACAUCUUUUGCUAGAUCAUGCAUUAAAUCAUGCAUCUUACAGUUAAUAGUCACAUAAGUUUGUGUACCAUAAUUGUGUCUGAACUCUUGCUUAUCUUGGAGGAAGGACCUCCAAACCAACUCAUCAAAAAUGAAUUCUCCUCUGAGUAUCAAAUCCAUCGUUCCCUUCUCUUGAAUAAAACCAUUUGCCAUCCAUAGUUGGAUCAGCUUGUCUUUGUCCAUCACAUAGUCCUUGGGGAAAACUGCUAAGAAUGCAAAACAUUGCUUCAUUUCAGAUGAUAGGUGUAUGUAGCUCAACUUUAGGAUGGACAUGAUCUCAUCUUUCCCUCCAACAUUACACCUAAUAUUAUUUUCUUCGAUGUCCUUCCAUUCUUGUACUUGUUGAUAUGAACUUAGCAAUCCACCCAUUGCCUUCAGAGCAAGAGGCAGCCCUCUGCAUUUGUUGACAAUACGUCUGCCAAUGCUGACCAACUCUGCUUGCUCCUGCCCUACACCAUUGCUAUAUGCUUUCUCUGCAAACAAUUUCCAUGAAUCUUGUUCACUCAGACACCCUAGCUUAUGGGGUCCAAGGGUCUGCAUUAUGGAGGCCACUUUCUGGCUUCGAGUUGUCACGACUAUUACACUUCCUGCUCCACCAACAGAACACAAAAGAGGCUUCAGGACAUCCUCCCACUUCCUCUCAUCUUCAUUCCACACAUCAUCAAGCACGAGCAUAAACCGUUUUUUGCCAAUGACUUGCUCAAGUUUCUUUUGCAACAGCUCAAUCGUGUCAGGCAUGUCACAUCUUCCACUUACAGCCAACUCAAUGAUGGAUUUUAAAAGAGCAAUGGAAUCAAAGUUGUCGGACACGCAGUGCCACAUCUUCAACUGGAAAUGUUGCUGGACCCCUUUGUCAUUAUAGACCAUCUUAGCAAGAGUCGUCUUGCCAAGACCUCCCAUCCCAAUGAUGGGCAGCACCUGCACCCUCCGCUGAUCCUGCUGGUCCAGCAACAACUUCACAUAUCAUCAUAUCUUCCAGUUUCGAGUGUGCAGUUGAAGAUGUGGAAAUAAGCAACAACUUCUCCUUAUCAUCAUAUCUUCCAAAGAUCUGGGUAGUCUCGUCCAGUUUCGAGUGUGUCUGCCGCCAAAGAUGUUGGCGCUCCUCCCUACGGACAGAACUCUCCAGGCCAAACAUGUUCAUCUCCAUAACCAACUUAUUGAUCUUCUUGAGGACGUUCUUGAGUUUCCUGCUCAUUUCAAAGCGGAAGAGCAGCGGGCUGUGGCGCGUGAUGUAGCUGAAUGCCUUUCUGGUAGUGGACUUGCCAAUCUUAGACUCGCGACGCAGCGCCUCGUAUUGGAAGUCGUCGAGCACGUCGUCGGCCUCGUAGGCGACGGACUUGAGCUCCUUCAUCCAUCUCUUGACAUAGGAAUUUUUCUCGCUCAUCUCCUCAGCAUUUGCCAGCUUGCACUCGACGGCUAGUAGAUGCCGCUCGAGUGUUUGGCGGUCGUCGUCGAGGCCACACAUGCGGGUCACCGUCUCGACGAGUGCGUCUGUGGCCUUGCCAGCCACACCGCGCACUAUAGGGAGAAGCAGUGACUCCGCCAUGAUAUUGCAGAUCAGAAGAAUAGGCAACUGCAGCACAUGAAAGAACAUAUAAAAGCAAUUAAGCACUAAGAGAACACCAAACAACCUUGUUAUCUUCCUAUUGAGCCAGGAAACAUUGUGCUCCUAGAUUCAAAGCAUGGCUUACCACCUUGUAAUCCCCCAUCUAUUUUACUUUAUGUCUUCUAUAGUUCGACAGUAGCUUAGCUUGUAUAGAUGUUGUACAUACUUUUAAAUACAUAUACAUAAAAACUUCAUGUUUUGUACAGCUAAACAAACAGAAGAUGAAGAACCAAAGGAGAGAAAAACAAGGUAAAGAUUGAGGAGAGCAUUCACCUCAGCAACGCCCAAAUUUGAUGGUUGGUGAAAGAGCGAUACUGUUGUUCGUUCGUCGCCGGCACAGUGCAGAUCUCUCACGCGUCAAGGCUGCUUGGUUUGGGAAUGAGAGUUAUAAGCUCAAGGAAUCCAAUAGCUGAGUUGUAAUAUUGCCUGGCCCCUUAAUUUAUGUGGAGAUAAUCAAGGUGCGGUGCGGUGCGGUUGUUGGAAAGGAAUCCAAAAGCGACUGAUACAUGUACCUAACGUUACCACUUCAGUAUCAUAUUUUGGUUCAUUUGCUUUGUAACUUAAAAUAAUUCUGUUGGCCACUGCUCCAGGACAAAUUGAAAACCAGAAAUCCCACACUCAGGAAGGAAUUUAUCUGUGGAAUGUAUCACCUAUGAACAAUAUGUGUACGUACGGGUGGCCCCUCACUUAUUUAUAGCUAUAUAUGGUAUCACUAUUGUUGGAUAUUUCUACAAUUUCCUUAAUUCAAUAUACUUCCAAAUACUCUUAUACCUGUACGCAACUGUUUUUAGAUCAUUUUAGCAUUUGCCAUCGUGUUACUGUGGUGAAGUGUAUCCUGUUCCAUUUAACCUUCUUUACUGUGGUGAAGUGCAGAUCUCUCAUGUGGUGAUGGUGUCUAAUCGUUCAGUUACUACCAAUAAUUGUGCAAGGAAGCAUUCGCUCAGAAAAAAAGGCAGUCGGAAAGCGUGUGAGGCUUGGUUUAUUAUUGUGGAAAUGUUGUACAGGCUGACAUCACUCCCUUUUCACUCGUUGGUGGCGGUCUCCGCCCACCUCAGUCGCUGGCGGCUGGCAAGCUUCCCCACCGCAUGGCCCGUUUCCCUUCCUGGCUCCUGCUCUCCUCGCCGGCAACCGGUCCCCGUUCCGCCCCUUCAUCGUUGCGUUCGGCUCCUUGACGCUGCGAUGCACCUCGAGACGUCUGUGCGGUCAGCCCCGUCCCGCCGUGCUCCCUUCGUCGGUGUUAGCUCCUGGCGCGGUGACAGCUGUGGUAAGGCGGGAGACCCUCGCUGCUCCCCCGUGACCCGCGGGCUGAGCCGUAGCCUAACGUGCUACCGGGCCGACAUGGGCCACUUGGCGGGACACCGACAGGCCGUGGCCAACGCCCCCUCCUUGGGGCUUGGGCCGGCGCGGUCCCUCCUUGCUUGGCCGAUUCCUCGGCCGAUCUGCCCGCCUGCCGGCUUCCCCCACCUCCCGACUCCUCAUUUCCCCCAGCUCCCGCUGCCCUACUCCCGUCCCUAGCCGUCCCGUCGUCGCCGCACCUCCCCCCUGCUCCGGCGCUCCCCCGGCCUCCGAUGCCGCACAAAUGGGGGGACGACGAGGACUGCAACAAGCGUCCGCUGGAUGAUCGGCGCGAUCCUCCUCGCCCCUCUCCCGACACCAUGCGCUGCGAAGAUGACCUUCGUUGUCAGCUCUCCUCCCGGGAGCGCCGCUCGCGUCCCCGCCUGGAGCAUUGCUCCCCCCCCCCCCCCCCCUCCCCGCUCCCCUGGACCGAGAGGGCCAUCCCAGACGCUCCCGCUCCCCUUCCCCGGAGACGUGGCGGAGCUCUCGCCGGUGGUCUCGCUCCCCAACCCGACGUCGGGACCGCAGCUGUUCCCCGGCUCGCUCGGGCCGGUCUCUGCCUAGCAUGCAACAACAACGACAAUAACCGGAUGCGCAUGCACCAUCCCCUCCCCGCCGUUACCAGCCUCCGUGCGGUGAACCCAGCUCCCCCCUCCAAUGGCACUGGGGCGACUAGGGGUCGCCCAGGGGCAAAGAAGAAGAAGAGGAAGCUCGGCUGGGGUGGAAGCAAAGAAGAAGAAGAGGAAGCUCGGCUUGGGUGGAAGCAAAGAAGAAGAAGAGGAAGCUCGGCUUGGGUGGAAGCAAAGAAGAAGAAGAGGAAGCUCGGCUUGGGUGGAAGCAAGUAAUGAAGAAUAGCACUCGCUCAGCAAAGAGUGGUAUUUACCACAGUAAUACCUACUACUCAUAAGUAUCUCCCAUAAGGAAUACUAAAAACUUCUCAUUUAUAGAUAAAGUCAAUGAGGUGGUGAGAAAGCGAUGCUUGUAGCAAAAGGGUUCACGCAGAGACCCGACAACAAAUUAUGAUGCAACAUACACUCUUGGUAUGAGUGGAAUUAAGUUUCGAUAAUAAAUAUCAUUAGCAGUACAAAUAAUAUUAUCCAUGCAGUUAAUGGAUGCAAUAACUACAUACUCAUAUGAGUUACUCGUUUUGUAAAUUUAUAACGAAGUCCUUGAAGGCCUUACAAUUCCAAAUCCAAAAUAAAUCGCAACAUAUUUGUGUAAAAUUUCAGAAGUGACUCUAUGGCUUAAAAUAAUCGGAGAUCAUAUGGUACUACCGACUAAAUGAGUUCCUUCUUCAAAGCAUUACUCAAAGGAUGAUAAUUGUUUAUGUAUUAAUAAAGGAAUCCCAAAAUUUGAUUUCCUUACAUCACCUCUGUGUAUAUCGAUGAUUUCGUCAUCAAUGUCUCUACAAGACCUUAACAUACAUAAAAUCAUCUCAAGACGGAAAAUUUGGAUUCAUCCAAAUUUAGUUUAAGUUUACAAACUUGAGCAUUCUCUCAAGAAUACAUAUCAGUCUACAUAUAUCCAAAACAUAUACGAGAAGUUUGAUUUGGAUAUAUCAUAUCAAUAAAUGACAUGUAUGGUCAUACUGCCCCGAUCGGGUACAAAUAUAUUGUUACCUAGGGGUGAUAAUGAAGUGAAAUAAAGACGCGAAGUUCUAUCUCACUAAUAUCAAAGCACUCAUAUAAUUACAAACUAUGUCACGCGUGACACCAUGUUUUUCUAUGUUUGUUUAGAGUGCAACCCACAACAAAAGGUACAUGCUUGAUAUAUGGAAUAUCAUCCUAUAUCUGAAGCUCACAAUAAAUCUUGGACAAUUCCAUCAGGAAAUACAAGAUAUGACCAUGAUAUGAUAUAAUGACAUUGGCUCUUUAUUUGAUCCCAACGACGUCAUAUCAAUGACUGAAUUUGCUAGAAUAUCCUUCACAUGGAAGUCAUCCAAAUGGAUUUUAAUGGUUAUUCCAGUUAUCAUUCUGACAUACUUGCUUUAUCUAAAAGCAUUGAAAAUAUGCAUAACUCAGUAGAAUGGUUAACCACACUCAAAAUCAUGUUGUUGAGAUUCAUGAGAAUCACCUAACUUGAUUUAUCAAGAUACUUCCACUUGUGUUACUUAAUACCUACAGGUUAUAUGAAGAGCAAUAUCAUAAAUUACAUUGCUCGGAAAUUACUUAUCCUCACGGAUUAUAAAAAAGUGAGGAAAUAAUUUGCAAACAAAAUAAUAUUAUAAUCUAACAGACUAUACACAAUCUCAUGUUCAUGUCAAUGGAAUUGGUAUGAGACAUCCUCCAUAUUUGCAAAGUUCGGGGGGGAGUAUUCUCCCAAACUAUAACCUAUUAACAAUCAUCAGAUUGCAUAUAUUAUACUCUUUUUUCCUUGAUGAGUUUCCCCUAAUGGUUUCUCAUAAAAGAUUUUUAACGAGAUAAUAUAAACACAAGUGUCUAUAUAUGCCAUAUCAUUUUCUCCUUAUAUUUUUCUCACUGGGUUUUAAAGGAGUUUUCAAUGGCAUGUAUGAUUGCACUCUUUUCCCUUAUGAGUUUUCUCUCAAAGUUUCUCAUGAUGGUUCUUAGUUGAGGCAAUAGCUUCUCAAAGAUCAUAUCUCAUACUUUCUAUUUUCCCUAUCGCGGUUUUUAAAGGAAGUACUCAAGACAUAUUAAUUGUUCUCUACACUCACCAAUGAGUUUUCUCUUUCUUCAAAGGUUUUUCUCAUAUGAGUUAUCAAGAGACAAUAAUCAUUAUAUGUUGCAUUACUUUCUCCUUAUUAUUUUUCCCACUGGGUUUAAAGGAGUUUUAGCAACAUAUGUGCACAAUUCUCCUCAUAUUUUUUCCACAGGGUUUUUCGAGGAGAUUUUCAACAUUACUCAAAGAAUUUGUCAAGAUGAUGGAUAUACCCAAGAAGAGGCGUUGUACAAGGGGGAGUGUUAAGAAUAGAAUAGCUGCUUAUUAAUUAAGUUGGUUAGGAUAAAGUUAAUUCUUAGAUAGGUUACUUAGUCCUUAAGCAACCAUACACUUCCUUGACUCUCAAGGAAACUAUGUAAUAACUUUGUCCUUAGUUAACCUCAAGUUACUUAAUUCUCAAGUAACAUGUAUACUUCCGCCCGGAUAUAAAUACCCACUUCUAUCAUUAAUAAAGACUAAUGAAUCAUCUUUCAUCCAUCUCUCUCGUUCUUUACUUUCUACUUCAAACAACUCCAACCAACUAUUCGUGUGGAAAUUUUCUGUACCGUCAUGCCAAGUGACUCCAACCAACUAUUGCACAACAAUAACCAACUUUGAGCAUGCAUUAUUUUUCCAACUUGUCAGAUGGGACAAUAUAUAAGCGAGAGACAUGUAUGCAUCUACUGUGAAGACUGAAGACUUGUUCUCACUUGUGUAGCUAACGGUUCUGCAGCAAUAGGCGAGACUGUCACUUGUUCCAUGGCGUACUAGCUAGACGAGACCUGGCAACCCCUUCUUUUUGCUAUAUAUCAAUAAAAUUCUAGAUUAUAUAACAAAAUUUCAUAUUUUGGUGAAUUAGUUCAGUGACGUCAAGAGUUAAGAGGUAAAUAGAUUGUUCAAUUUGAGAGAAGUUAGAUUAUGCACGAUGCAUGGAAAGGAUUUUUGCACCAGCUUUCUUCAUACCAACAGUAUAAAUUGUUAAAUUUCUGCUGUUAUGAUCGUCGAAAAAUAAAUAAUUGAGAAACUGGGCACACCUCCAUGAGUAAAAACAGAUGACACGACCAUUAUUAACCGUUAGGUUGCAAACGUAGGGAUGAGAAUGAUUGUAAAACAUCAUUAAUUUUGUAGUGAAACAAUAGUCUGACGUUUCUAAGCUAUUUCGGAAAAGUUUCUGAACUAUUUUGGAAAAAGAAAGUUUAUGAACCAAGAAAGGUUACACAAUCGCUAUAUGCCUAUAUCAUACUAUCUAUUGUUCUCGCUGCUGUACCCGACACACAACAGAAUCAUGUAUUCCCUUCAUAAAAAAAUAUAAAAGCAUUUAGAUCAUUAAAAUAAUGAUCUAAAUAUUUUUUAUUUUCUUUAUAAAGGGAGUAGCCAAAAGCAUAUAAAACCAGAGGUUCAUUUUUGCCUUAUUUAUAUGGGGUCAUUACUGAAUUUUUUUUAUACGCCGAGUGUAAGGCUCUUCGUUGAGAACCAAAUCACGGGCUCUCGGCAAACAAAUAUAUGCCGAGAGCCCCCCUCGGCAAACAAGUGUUCACGAAAACUACGUCCCUUUGUCGACAGUGGCUCACCGCGAACAUGAGCCGAACAGCAAACGGAGCAAACGUCGAGCGUUACUCUCGGCAAAGAGAAGCCAUGUGGCAUUGCCAUCGGGAACUGACGGUGCCGUCACUCGGUUUAACUAUACCGAGAGCAGCUACAUCAUCCUCGGUAAAAACACGUCACGUAAACAUUUUCUUACCUGACGUGUGGUCCCAAUGGUCUCCUGGAGUAUACGAUUCAUGAAAGGAAUGUCGUGAACAGGUGAACGGUUACACUAAUACCGACUAUAAAGGGUUUUCAACUAGGCAACAGGCACAUGAUCAAUUUACACCAAUUAUUGCUAUAGAGGUACAACUUGCUGUUCACACCAAUUUGACUUUAUAUUAUGAACUUUUUGCCCAGAAGUCAUCAGGGGCUUCUCCUUCGUGGAUUUUACUUUAUACAAGUACAAUAGAAGUUUAUUUUAUCGUCGACGUAGUGGCUUUAUUUAUCUCUAAAAUCCUUCUCCAGCGACCCAAUGAAGCCCAGCCCAGCCCAGCCCAGCCCUCUGCUAGUGUCCAUUGGGUCCAUCAAUCCAUCCAGAUCCUGACCAUAGUGGUUGUACUGACGCUGCAUCUUUGUGGCUAGCUCUCCCCCACUCCGCAUCUCGCUAGCUCCACCCUCGAGAAUCGAGAUGAACCACCGCCGCUCGUCGCUGUAGCGUGCGCUCUGGCCGGUAGGUCGGUCGGCUUGCAGAAAUCCGGACCCCGGUAGGCAGGCAGCUGCAGGUACGUACAUCGAGCCAUCGUGUGAGCAAUCCAUGUUAUUAUCCGCAGAACCAUUUCUUUUCUUUAGUGGCAUCAGAUUAAGCAGCAGUCUCGUUUAAGCGAUCUCUGUAUUUAUCCAUGCAGGCUCAGUUGAUUUGCCUCCAUCAAUUUGAUUCUAAGGCAAGAGGAAAGUCCAAGUUUGUGGUCAGAUUUUUUAACUGAAGCCAUUCAUGGUCUCUAAUGGAUCUGCUGUAUGAGACGGUGGCAUCAGAAUUCAGGUUCCUCUGCCUUUGCUCAUGGUCUUGAAAGCCUGUCCGGAUUCUAAGUUUCUAACUCUCCCAAACCUGAAAUCAUUGGCAAGUUGAAACCAAAAUUGGAUGUGCUUGGCGUCAGUUAGUACCAAAUGUUCACAACUCCCACUUAACAGUUACAGGAAGUACUCCAGUAGAGAUGAAGCAACAAUAUUUACUUUAGGGGAAUCGUAGCAAUGCAAAAGAGUUGUGGAAUCCAUAUUUGAAAAAGGAAGAGACUCUGCUGCCCACGGCGUGCAUCUCUGCUUCGUCAGCGCCUGGAUGUGGUGAGGAAGGAGCCCGGCUCGGCAUGGACGCAUACAUCACCAUGCUUUGGUUGCCGGAUUACAAGUGGUCACUGAAUAAAUACUAGCUAUCCUUAAUUCCAUGCAAGAGUUAAUUUGGUGGGUGAUGAUUACUUGUGGACAACAGAUGAAUAAAUCUGCUCUAGUCUCUGCUCUUUACUAGUAGUAUCAGGAUUGUUCAUGUCAGGCUCCCAAAGGCACCAACUCAAGGAAGGCGCAAUCACGAUUGAGGUCAGAUUAUUACUCCCAUUCUUAUCUUAUGUGCAUUGUAGGAAAUUGGAACAAUCCCAUCACCAGUAUGUAUGAUAUCGCCAUUGUGUGGAAGAAGUUUAUUUAUUAUCUACCUGAAAAGAAUAUUUACUGUUAUAACACAGACUGGUUGUCUACACACACACACACAAAAACAGUGACGUACACAAAGAUUGGAAUCGGAAGCAGUUCAUAAGAAUCUCCGUGGAGGAAGGCAAAAAUAAAUUCUUUGCAAUGGCUCGUGACUCUCAAACGCAUUGAUAUUGGCAGGACAAUCCGGAGCUUCCGAUCAAGCUGUUGGGCCCUUUCAGAGUCAAACUCUCAAGCUUUUCAAGAGGUCUUUCACUUUGGCUUUGCUGGGCGUCCAGAGGCAACAUGGGUAUGUCUUCUAGAGACCCAAGAGUUAAGCUAACGAGAAAUGGCCAGGAACCCAAACGGAUGCUUGUAAAAACUGAACCGACUGCAGUACUGUGAGCUCCAACUAUGCUCAACUUGCUGACAACGGGGAUCGCUGCAGUACUUGCAAGCUUGGGGCAAUUUUUGAUCUUUAGCUCUUCAAGCAUCGGAAAUGUUACCAGGUUAUCACAACUAGGCUCUCCCAUACUAUUUUCUGCCCACAUCUCCAGGCUUGGUAACUGAAUUAACCUCAUCUUCUUCAACCCUGGGAAAAUCCGCAGAGGGGUGAUGCAUCCUCCGGCUUCCGCAUCAAGGUUAUUACAUAAUGUGAUCAGGUUAUCCAUCCUCUCUAAGACCAAAAUCUCUAGAGAGACCGAGAACCAUAUUACAGGGAUACUCUUGCAUUUUGGGCAGCCAAACAUUUUGAGUUCUCUCAAGCAGUCAAACAUCUGAGGCUUUCUCAUCCAUUGUGAUAUUUCUAGGCCAUGAUAUCCACGUAUCUCCAGUUUUUGGAUAUUGCUAUGAGGUUCUAAGCACUGAAGCACUUCUUCCACAUCUCUAGGAUCAUCAUCUAUUUUCUGGUCCCAAGUGAACAACAACUCACUUAGAUUUUGCUUCUGACUGAGAUUGGCUUCUUUUGCAUUCUCCCCACCCUUUAUCUUGUCCAAGUUCAACAGUUCCAACUUAUUGCUAAGGUUUUGCAAGUCUUUGAGCUGCUCUAUUCCAAGGCCAUCUCCGGUACCCACAACAAAUGUUGUUAAUAUGUGAAGGUUGUUCAGCAGACGGAAGUUUGGAGACAUAUUUUUGAGACUCACACAACCAGAAAGGUAAAGAUGGAUGAGCUUUGUCAAUCUGGUAACUGUUGCAACUGCCGGCAGUCUAUGAGCCUCAGUGUUUGCAGGUUAUACAACAUACAUAUUGUAUCUGGCAACCUAACGAUGUCAGACCCUGAGAGGUCAAGAUAACGUAAAUGUUUUGCAUUUAUGGCCUUGCAAAUGACAAUUGGAGAAGGGGAUCCGGAGCAAUGCAAUGCCCUUACUGACGCAAAUACAUGUUGCAACUCCUUAAUUUCCUUGUGUGAUCUGCUUGGAAACUUAUAAAGAUGAUCCUCCCAUGAUUCUGAAGGAGAUAACAAAGUGCGGAGGUAUGUUCUGCCUUUGCAUAACCCACUGAUUCGUUCGAAUUCAGCCUUUGACAUUUGCAUGUGACAAAUACCUUUUGAUAAUGCGGAGGCUUUCAGAGAUUCAUACCUGCAGUUGCAGGUACCAUCGAUUAACAUUUAUUUUAUUUACACACAACGGAGACUGAUUAUUUAUCAGGGGAGGGGACUCACGCGUAUGCCCAUUUACUUCACAGCUAUUAUUCUGGAUUUCCAUGGCGCCGUCAUCGCGAAAUGUCUUUACGUGGGACAGAGGAGAGCAAGUGGAAAUACUCCCCACCUUCUCUGCAUCGUGUUCCCAACUCCGGGCAGUCAUGUAUGCUCAAGUGUUCGAGAGCUGGCAACCGCUCUAGGAGACCAUGCGGGAAUUUCUUCAUACUUGGACAAUUCCAAAUCCAUAAUUCCCUCAGAGAAGUGAGGCCACACAUCCCAUCAGGCAGCACUUUCAGGCUCCUGCAGUAACUCACAUUGAGACGCCUCAGCUUGGCAAGAUUUCCAAGGUUCCAAGGCAGUGCUACUACACUGCGGCAGUUUCCGAUCGUCAAACCCUCCAGGGACAGCGGAAGGGUUUCCUCCUCAGACGAUGAAUUUUUCCCCUCCAGGUUGUCACAAUUUGUGAUACUCAGAAAGCGGAGGCGAUCCAUGCACCGGAGCUCCUCUGUUGGCCAGCGGACAAGAUUGCUGCAACCAUAUAUCUUCAGAUUUCUCACGAACCGAAAACAUUUCCAAACCAUAAGUUGUGAUUCGGACAAUCCGAAGCUUCUGAUCAAGCUGUUGGGCCCUAUCAGAGUCAAACUCUCAAGCUUUUCAAGAGGUCUUUGACUUUGGCUUUGCUGGGGGUCUAGAGGCAACAUGGGUAUGUCUUUUAGAGACCCAAGAGUUAACUCAGCAAGAAAUGGCCAGGAACCCAAACGGAUACACAUAAAAACUGAACCGACUGCACAACCGUGAACUCCAACUAUGCUCAACUUGCUGACAACGGGGAUCGCUGGAAUACUUGCAAGCUUGGGGCAAUCUAUGAUCCUUAGCUCUUCAAGCAUUGGAAAUGUUACCAGGUUAUCACAACUAGGCUCUCCCAUACUAUUUUCUGCCCACAUCUCCAGGCUUGCUAACUCAAUCAACCUCAUGUUCUUCAACCUUGGGAAAAUCCGCAGAGGGGUGAUGCAUCCUCCGGCUUCCGCAUCAAGGUUAUUGCAUAAUGUAGUCAGGUUAUUCAUCCACUGUAAGACCAAAAUCUCUAGAGAGACCGAGAACCAUAUUAGAGGGAUACUCUUGCAUUUUGGGCAGCCAAACAUUUUGAGUUCUCUCAAGCAAUCAAACAUCUGAGGCUUUCUCAUCCAUUGUGUUAUUUCUAGGCCAACAUAUCCGCAUAUCGCCAGUUUUUGGAUAUUACUGUGAGGUUCUAAACACUGAAGCACUUCUUCCACAUCUCUAGGCUCAUCAUCUAUUUCUUGGCCCCAAGAGAACAAC